AAAAUCCGUCGACUUUAUAAAUCGUG
rnacentral:tRNA from 2 species